rnacentral:rRNA from 1 species
UAGGGAAUCUUCCGCAAUGGGCGAAAGCCUGACGGAGCAACGCCGCGUGAGUGAUGAAGGUCUUCGGAUCGUAAAACUCUGUUAUUAGGGAAGAACAAAUGUGUAAGUAACUAUGCACGUCUUGACGGUACCUAAUCAGAAAGCCACGGCUAACUACGUGCCAGCAGCCGCGGUAAUACGUAGGUGGCAAGCGUUAUCCGGAAUUAUUGGGCGUAAAGCGCGCGUAGGCGGUUUUUUAAGUCUGAUGUGAAAGCCCACGGCUCAACCGUGGAGGGUCAUUGGAAACUGGAAAACUUGAGUGCAGAAGAGGAAAGUGGAAGUACAAGUGGAGCGGUGAAAUGCGCAGAGAUAUGGAGGAACACCAGUGGCGAAGGCGACUUUCUGGUCUGUAACUGACGCUGAUGUGCGAAAGCGUGGGGAUCAAACAGG